ACGAAACGCUCAGGAAAUUGUGCCAUAUACGGCCGAAUGCCCAGCAAGUCCUGCGUGUCAGCCGAAACCACUACGGCCUGGGGAUCACGUGUGGCGACCUCAAGCAAGGCCUGGCCAAAAGCCAGCCGCGUCUGGUUGGCAGCUUUGGCGCGCCAGUCGUUGUUCUGUGCUGUACUCAUGACGAGACCUCCAGUUCCGCCAGGGCGCGGGCAUAUACCUCAUCGGUCACCGUGUUGCUGUGCCAGACAUAGGUGUCUUCGGCAAAGCUGACCCCCUUGCCUUUCACCGUAUGGGCGAUGAGCGCUGAGGGCUUCUGGUCGUUAAACGG
rnacentral:misc_RNA from 1 species